rnacentral:rRNA from 1 species
AAUGCCUAGGAAUCUGCCUGGUAGUGGGGGAUAACGUUCGGAAACGGACGCUAAUACCGCAUACGUCCUACGGGAGAAAGCAGGGGACCUUCGGGCCUUGCGCUAUCAGAUGAGCCUAGGUCGGAUUAGCUAGUUGGUGAGGUAAUGGCUCACCAAGGCGACGAUCCGUAACUGGUCUGAGAGGAUGAUCAGUCACACUGGAACUGAGACACGGUCCAGACUCCUACGGGAGGCAGCAGUGGGGAAUAUUGGACAAUGGGCGAAAGCCUGAUCCAGCCAUGCCGCGUGUGUGAAGAAGGUCUUCGGAUUGUAAAGCACUUUAAGUUGGAGGAAGGGUUGUAGAUUAAUACUCUGCAAUUUUGACGUUACCGACAGAAUAAGCACCGGCUAACUCUGUGCCAGCAGCCGCGGUAAUACAGAGGGUGCAAGCGUUAAUCGGAAUUACUGGGCGUAAAGCGCGCGUAGGUGGUUUGUUAAGUUGGAUGUGAAAUCCCCGGGCUCAACCUGGGAACUGCAUUCAAAACUGACUGACUAGAGUAUGGUAGAGGGUGGUGGAAUUUCCUGUGUAGCGGUGAAAUGCGUAGAUAUAGGAAGG